rnacentral:rRNA from 1 species
CGAUGAGUAGGGCGGGACACGUGGUAUCCUGUCUGAAUAUGGGGGGACCAUCCUCCAAGGCUAAAUACUCCUGACUGACCGAUAGUGAACCAGUACCGUGAGGGAAAGGCGAAAAGAACCCCGGCGAGGGGAGUGAAAAAGAACCUGAAACCGUGUACGUACAAGCAGUGGGAGCACGCUUAGGCGUGUGACUGCGUACCUUUUGUAUAAUGGGUCAGCGACUUAUAUUCUGUAGCAAGGUUAACCGAAUAGGGGAGCCGAAGGGAAACCGAGUCUUAACUGGGCGUUAAGUUGCAGGGUAUAGACCCGAAACCCGGUGAUCUAGCCAUGGGCAGGUUGAAGGUUGGGUAACACUAACUGGAGGACCGAACCGACUAAUGUUGAAAAAUUAGCGGAUGACUUGUGGCUGGGGGUGAAAGGCCAAUCAAACCGGGAGAUAGCUGGUUCUCCCCGAAAGCUAUUUAGGUAGCGCCUCGUGAAUUCAUCUCCGGGGGUAGAGCACUGUUUCGGCAAGGGGGUCAUCCCGACUUACCAACCCGAUGCAAACUGCGAAUACCGGAGAAUGUUAUCACGGGAGACACACGGCGGGUGCUAACGUCCGUCGUGAAGAGGGAAACAACCCAGACCGCCAGCUAAGGUCCCAAAGUCAUGGUUAAGUGGGAAACGAUGUGGGAAGGCCCAGACAGCCAGGAUGUUGGCUUAGAAGCAGCCAUCAUUUAAAGAAAGCGUAAUAGCUCACUGGUCGAGUCGGCCUGCGCGGAAGAUG